GAAGACAGAGAGAAGCCGAAGGUCCCACCUCGACGGUCCCGAAGUUAAGACAGUCCGUUGCGAGGUCAAGAGAACAUGAUGUACUAAAAGUGAUAGCUGUAACCGAAACUGAAAAGACUGGCUGUCCUGAACUCUCAGGACCUUUCGGGGGUCGAGGACGAGAACUGUGACAACCGGAGCUGCAGCCCUGGCGUUCAUCAAGUGUUUCACCAAACACAGAAGGCAGACAACAGAUAUACGGAAACCAUACACUAGCUUGAGUCUUCCCUCAUUAUAAUUUCCUCUAUUUAUUAAGGUAGCAGAAAUAUUCAGCAUUUUCCUUUUAUCUUAAAGCAUGUUAACUUUUAAUCGUGUGCAGGUCAGACUACUAAAUAAUAAACCAUUUUAAUGAUGGUUUAGAAUAAGGGAUGAGACAGUUUGAUUAGUUGCCAGGGAGAAGGAAAAAAGAAGAACAAAUGAAGGCACCAAGGAUUAGGGUUUGUUUAAUAUCUAAUUAAGAAAUAAUCAAUCAGGGAAGAUUUGGUAAUUAAUGAACUGACUACUGAACUGAAUACCACAUAUCCAUCCAUCCAUCUAUCCCAGCAGCCAUUAGGUGAGAGGCAGG